UACGUAGGGGGCAAGCGUUGUCCGGAAUCACUGGGCGUAAAGCGCGCGCAGGCGGUCAUCUACGUCUGGGGUGAAAGCCCGGAGCUCAACUCCGGGAUUGCCUUGGAUACGGGAUGACUUGAGGAUCGGAGAGGCAAGGGGAAUUCCACGUGUAGCGGUGAAAUGCGUAGAGAUGUGGAGGAACACCUGUGGCGAAGGCGGGUUGCUGGGCUGAUACUGACGCUGAGGCGCGAAAGCCAGGGGAGCGAACGGG
rnacentral:rRNA from 1 species